UGUCCACGAUUCAGACACCGUGGUGGCGAAAUGGCGACUUGCCCGGCGGCGGCUCCUCUCCAUCCGCCCCCACUCUCGCCCUCCGCCUUCCCCAACAGAAGACACCACGCGAUGGAGAUGGCGGUGGCUGCACUCACGCUCCUGUUCCUCAGCCAUCUGAGUGGCCUUCUUGGAUUGAUUGUCUGGUGGCGGCGUGGUGUUAUUGGUUUGCUCAGCAUUCGCCAUCAUUUCAUCAAUUCGCAGCAGUGGCCAUCGGUUCGGCCCUUCUGCUCCUGCGAAUCUGUGGAUCAAUUGAUACGCAGGAUUAAAACAAUUUUUAGUUUAGUCAGGAUCCAGCCCACGCGCAUGAUCUAGCCGAGGCGGGGGCCGCUCGAUCCAAUUCGACGCGGGGGCAAUCCAUCGCAGCAAGGGGGAAAUGGAGGGAUGCGGGUGAUGCAAGCCGAGUGAUCGAAACUGCUCUGCUCAUAUUUGAAGGCCGCAAUCAUUAUACGGUUACUCUGCACAAAUUCAUGGCAGGGGAUGUCCUAUCCUUUCCGCUGCCUCACGGUACAAGUACGUCCUCCCCUACAACUCUUCCCGCAUCCUUUCCACUCCGGCAACAAAACAUCCUUCAGCACGAUGCUCGGCUAGGCGACUAGGUCCCCUGUACUUCCUUCCAGUUCAUUGUGGGGCUCGCCAAUCGAUGCGGAGAAGAUCUCACCGGCCGAUGCAAGGAAGUUCAUCCGCCGCUUUUCAAGCGAGGAGUAAAGUGCUCGCUUGUUUUGUAUAUAUCAAUUAAUGGCAGUCGAGGGAGUGAUGGUGACGGAUGGUGGAGGUUAUGGUAUAUUGUUUGGGGACUAUUCAAGGCUGGUUCUGGAAUUUUAUUGGAAGAGAUAUUGAUGGGUUGACUAUUUGCAAUGGCAAUCAGGUCUUUUACUAUUAGGCCAACAAGAAGUGCAGGCUGCACGCCGCGAGCACUGAGCGCAGUCGAUGAGCUCGCCGCCUGUUGAAACUCCGUUGCUGAACAUGUAUGGUGACCUUAAUAUAUAUCUCACAAACUACAUCAUGAUUGGUCUCCGCCCUUGGAAGCCCUUGGGAAGUCAUCACACGAGGCAUCUCAUCUAUCCUUAGCAUCAGCAUAGCAAGGACGAUGAAGUGGGUUUGAGCCAAGACCUCUAAUGAUGUUUCUAAUUCUCUUUCUUCAAGUGCCUUCAUCUGGUGGACAUAAGUAGUCUUAGUAUUGUACCUGGUAUUGAUAUCCAGUUUCAGUGCUUUAGCAUUUUUGUUUCAAACAUUUUGAAAUGACUUAUAAAACACAGAAUGCCCUCAAGAAACAUGUUCA